UGGCUGUCCCGUGGUGAUUUGGCCGGUCGGCUUGCAGCCACGUAAAAUAAAUCGCUAAAAAGGCCGAGGAUGACAAGUU
rnacentral:ncRNA from 2 species